UACAGAGGUCCCGAGCGUUGUUCGGAUUCAUUGGGCGUAAAGGGUGCGUAGGCGGUCUUCUAAGUUUGAUGUGAAAUCCCGGGGCUCAACCCUGGAAUUGCAUUGAAUACUGGAGGACUAGAGUACUGGAGAGGAAACUGGAAUUUACGGUGUAGCAGUGAAAUGCGUAGAGAUCGUAAGGAAGACCAGUGGCGAAGGCGAGUUUCUGGACAGUAACUGACGCUGAGGCGCGAAAGCGUGGGGAGCAAACGGG
rnacentral:rRNA from 1 species